AAUGAACGCUGGCGGCAUGCCUAACACAUGCAAGUCGAACGAACCCUCCGGGACUAUUGGUCUCCGGGUGCGUAGGCGGUGGGAACCGGCCCUUGGGUUGGAAAUACCUCCCCGAAUGGGGUGCCAUUACGGAAUAAUGUCUUCGGCCCAAAGAUUUUUUGCCUUUGAAUGGGCCCUAGUUGGAUUAGCUAGUUGGUAGGGUAAAAGCUUACUAAGGCGACGAUCAAUAGCUGGUCUGAGAGGAUGAUCAGCCACACUGGGACUGAGACACGGCCCAGACUCCUACGGGAGGCAGCAGUGGGGAAUAUUGGACAAUGGGCGAAAGCCUGAUCCAGCAAUGCCGCGUGAGUGAUGAAGGCCUUAGGGUUGUAAAGCUCUUUUACCCGGGAUGAUAAUGACAGUACCGGGAGAAUAAGCUCCGGCUAACUCCGUG
rnacentral:rRNA from 1 species